rnacentral:rRNA from 1 species
CUGGCGGCGUGCCUAAUACAUGCAAGUCGAACGGCUUUUCUAUGGAAGCUUGCUUCCACUGAGAAGAUAGUGGCGAACGGGUGAGUAACACGUGGGUAACCUGCCCAUAAGAGGGGGAUAACAUCCGGAAACGGGUGCUAAUACCGCAUAGUUUUCUUGAUCGCAUGAUUGAGAAAGGAAAGACGGCCUUUGUGCUGUCGCUUAUGGAUGGACCCGCGGCGUAUUAGUUAGUUGGUGAGGUAACGGCUCACCAAGACGAUGAUACGUAGCCGACCUGAGAGGGUGAUCGGCCACAUUGGGACUGAGACACGGCCCAAACUCCUACGGGAGGCAGCAGUAGGGAAUCUUCCGCAAUGGACGAAAGUCUGACGGAGCAACGCCGCGUGAGUGAAGAAAGGUUUUCGGAUCGUAAAACUCUGUUGUCAGAGAAGAACAAGUUGGAGAGUAACUGCUCCAGCCUUGACGGUAUCUGACCAGAAAGCCACGGCUAACUACGUGCCAGCCGCCGC